GAGGGUAUAGCUCAGUAGUAGAGUGCAUGCUUAGCAUGCAUGAGGUCCUGGGUUCAAUCCCCAGUACCUCCA
rnacentral:tRNA from 1 species